UGCGCAGCAGUUGAACUAUCUUGUAAACGCUUUCCCAGACAGGUAACUCUCUCUCCUCGUAAACCAAAAAUAGAAAGAUUCGUCCAUUAUGGCAGCCAUCUCCUUUUUGCUGAUCGGCACCUCGACCACCUCAAAGUGGAAGGGCGAGUGCUGGGUGGCGUUGAGGAUGAGGAAGCAUGAAGGCAGCAGCACGGUCACCUCGUGGCCCCGGGCCACAAGCUCCUUGAGGAUGUACUCCACAUUGAGCCAGUGGCUGUUGUCAACCGGCCAGACCAGCACCUUCCCACCAGACCCUGAGCCCAGCACAGCCAGCAGCCACAGCACGGCCACCUCCUUGCCAGCCAUGGUCUGCCUUGCUUCGCAGUGCGCCCGUGGCCUUCCUUCACUGGGAGCAGCAGGCCAAGCCAAGCCAAGCUGGGCUGGGCCUGCAUGACACUGCCUUGCACUGCAGGCAAGGGGCCAAGGUAGCUGGUGCAGAAUCCUGUCCUGGAUAACACGUGUUUUCCUGGGGAAAGGGUGACUGGGACCAUCUGGCACCAUCUGGUGGUCAGUGGCUCGCUGAAACUGGGAGACGUUUCCUCUGGAGCAGUGCAGAGAGCUGUGAGCCUGGGGGGACUCCGCCCUGUGCGGGUCACAUCCUGCUAGCUGUCCUGCCCGUCGUGCCUGCCUAACUACAGUCUGCUGGUCUGGGUACAAGAGGUGACUGCCAUUUCUCUGGCAGCUGAAAGUGCAGGUGAUGUUCACCCACAAAAAGGUGCAGGCACCAUUUUGCUUCAUAAAGCUGCUAAGCAUCUGUUUACAUUGCAUUCAACGUGGAAAUCUGGGUCUCGAAGUGGAUGAAGCGACGUGGGAAAGCGAGCGACUCCAGUGUCAGAAUAAAGCUGUCCUGUCCUCACGUGGACUUGCUUACCCAGAGCCAGCCCGGAGGGAGGCCAGAGCUGGGAGGUGAUGGCAUGGGUUGUCCUGCCUGCCACUAGGUGCCAAUAAUGCACCGUAAGUGGAACCAGAAACUACGCUAAAUUGCUUUAGCUGUCGCCACGCUCCUGAUUUGCAGGAGCCGCUGGCUGCGUGUGAAGAGUGUCAUUAGAGGGUCAUCCAGCAGACCACAGAUGCAUCAGGAGCAAAACCAUGCCUAUGGGCUGGCAGGCAAACGCACAAGCCAAAGGAAGCAAGAGGGGGGGAUGUUGGAAAGCCCAGCUUUGUAUCAAAGUAGGUGUGCGAGAGGUUCGGGGAGGGAGGAAAAUGCCUGGAACAAAUAAAAAACAAGUCAUUCAUGUG